AUGGCUCCUACCGAGGCUGAGGAUGAUGUAGAGGAGGGAGAAGAGAAGAAGAAGAGGGAAAGGAAAGCAGCCGGAGCUGCUUUCACGUGGAUUCAAAAUAACUUUGCGACGUGCCCUCCGGAUGCCACUGAUGAUGUGAUCCAGACACAUGCUUGUGUGUAUAUGUGGUACGUUGUGUCGAGGACUUUGUUUCCUGACUCCACUGGCAAGAACGCUCCAUGGAUGUGGCUGAAGACGUUGACCAUCUUCGAUAGCAAAUGGAGCUGGGGUUCAGCGACUCUUGCCUACUUGUACCGACAGGUAGUUUGUCUGUUUUGUGAUCAACUCAUUUCUUCAUUAGCAAUGCAAGCUUGCUGUCAAGUUAACAUUGUUUUUCUUUCAUAUGUAGCUGGACAAUGCGUGUUGCAGGAUCACACCUAG
rnacentral:rRNA from 1 species